GCUGAACUUAAGCAUAUCAAUAAGCGGAGGAAAAGAAACCAACAGGGAUUGCCCUAGUAACGGCGAGUGAAGCGGCAACAGCUCAAAUUUGAAAUCUGGCGCAAGCCCGAGUUGUAAUUUGUAGAGGAUGCUUCUAGGUAGCGACCGGUCUAAGUUCCUUGGAACAGGACGUCAUAGAGGGUGAGAAUCCCGUAUGUGACCGGCCCGCACCUUCUACGUAGCUCCUUCGACGAGUCGAGUUGUUUGGGAAUGCAGCUCUAAAUGGGAGGUAAAUUUCUUCUAAAGCUAAAUACCGGCCAGAGACCGAUAGCGCACAAGUAGAGUGAUCGAAAGAUGAAAAGCACUUUGGAAAGAGAGUUAAAAAGCACGUGAAAUUGUUGAAAGGGAAGCGCUUACAACCAGACUUCUGGGCGGUGUUCCGCCGGUCUUCUGACCGGUCUACUCACCGUCCCGAGGCCAACAUCAUCUGGGACCGCCGGAUAAGACCUCAGGAAUGUAGCUCCCCUCGGGGAGUGUUAUAGCCUGUGGUGAUGCGGCGCGUCUCGGGUGAGGUCCGCGCUUCGGCAAGGAUGUUGGCGUAAUGGUUGUCAGCGGCCCGUCUUGAAACACGGACCAAGGAGUCUAACAUCUAUGCGAGUGUUCGGGUGUCAAACCCCUACGCGUAAUGAAAGUGAACGGAGGUGGGAAGGGUAACCUGCACCAUCGACCGAUCCUGAUGUCCUCGGAUGGAUUUGAGUAAGAGCAUAGCUGUUGGGACCCGAAAGAUGGUGAACUAUGCCUGAAUAGGGUGAAGCCAGAGGAAACUCUGGUGGAGGCUCGCAGCGGUUCUGACGUGCAAAUCGAUCGUCAAAUUUGGGUAUAGGGGCGAAAGACUAAUCGAACCAUCUAGUAGCUGGGUCC
rnacentral:rRNA from 1 species